GAUGAACGCUGGCGGCGUGCCUAAUACAUGCAAGUCGAGCGAACGGACGAGAAGCUUGCUUCUCUGAUGUUAGCGGCGGACGGGUGAGUAACACGUGGAUAACCUACCUAUAAGACUGGGAUAACUUCGGGAAACCGUAGCUAAUACCGGAUAAUAUUUUGAACCGCAUGGUUCAAAAGUGAAAGACGGUCUUGCUGUCACUUAUAGAUGGAUCCGCGCUGCAUUAGCUAGUUGGUAAGGUAACGGCUUACCAAGGCAACGAUGCAUAGCCGACCUGAGAGGGUGAUCGGCCACACUGGAACUGAGACACGGUCCAGACUCCUACGGGAGGCAGCAGUAGGGAAUCUUCCGCAAUGGGCGAAAGCCUGACGGAGCAACGCCGCGUGAGUGAUGAAGGUCUUCGGAUCAUAAAACUCUGUUAUUAGGGAAGAACAUAUAUGUAAGUAACUGUGCACAUCUUGACGGUACCUAAUCAGAAAGCCACGGCUAACUACGUG
rnacentral:rRNA from 1 species